CUAGUGACAGAGUGAGGGGAUGACUGGUGACAGAGUGAGGGAGGUGGUGACUAGUGACAGAGUGAGGGAGGGGGUGACACAGUGACGGAGGGAGGUGGUGACUAGUGACAGUCACCCCCUCCCUCACUCUGUCACUAGUCACCCCAUCCCUCACUCUGUCACUAGUCACCACCUCCCUCACUCUGUCCCUAGUCACCCCUUCCCUGCCUAACUGUCACUAGUUACACCCUCCCUCACUCUGUCACUAG